GUUAAUUAAAGACUGAAAAUACUCUUACGAAAUUAUCAUAACAAUUUAAAUCCAACCACAAUAUCCAACUUAUUUUAAAGUACACUUUGCAAUUAGGGAAAGAAACAACUAAUUACAGAUUAUUUCUUUACGAAAUUUUUUUCUUCGCUCUAAAACCAUUCCUUUCACAAUUGAUUUCUCAGCCGAAAUCACUAUCCAAAGUUUACAACUAAAACUCGUCACAAGUAACAUUACAACGAUGGACUAAUCAAUGACAAUCCAAACGCUGCCUUGACUACGAGCCCAGCCUUUCCAGCGCCUCUCUAGCCGAAGCCAAUUCAGGCCGCAACUUCAGAGCCUCCUCAUAAGCACUUUUAGCUUCUUCUUCCAUCUUCUUCGCCUCAUAGCACUCGCCUAAUAAACGGAACGCAUUCGAGUUCUCCUGAUUCAGAUUCACCGCUUGAGUCAGAUCCUCAAUCGCCAAGUCAACUCGCUCGCGUUUAUUCAUCCCCAUCACUAACUCAGCUCUCUUAAACAGUGCAUCCCCUUUCUCUUUCUCGCUAAGCGACUUCACGGCCAAAGGAGAGAGAGCCACGUCCAGCGAGUCCAGAGCGGAGGUCUUGAAUCCUUGAAGAUCGAGAGCUAAUGCUUUGAGGAUGUGAGACGCGGCGUCCUUGGGAUCGAGUGUGAUGGAUUUGGUGGCUUCCUCUUCGGCUUUUUUGGCCAAGGAGAUGGCACUGGAGCCAGAGUUGGAGGGAGAUCUAGCCUCCGACAGCAUCUGGGCGCCGAUGAUGAAGUGGCGCUUGGCCUCUACGGCGGCGCGGUUGCGAUGCUGUCGCAGUUUGGCUAGAACUUUUUGGGGGAUAUCAUGCAUAUAUAGAUAGAGGAAAACGGAAAGAAGGAUCAAGAAUACUUGUAGAAGGAUAUCGACCACCAUGAUCGUCCCUGAUUUUAGGAGUGUGAUCGGAUUGGGUUUUUGCAAAGAAUUUACGGACGGCUGCAGCCAAGGUUUUGGUUUGGUUGACUAGAUAUAUGAAAUUUAUUU
rnacentral:misc_RNA from 1 species